rnacentral:rRNA from 1 species
GGAGUUCGAUCCUGCCUCAGAAUGAACGCUGGCGGCAUGCCUUACACAUGCAAGUUGGAUGGGAAAUGGCAUUUCCAGUGAUGGACGGAUGAGUAACGCGUAAGAACCUACCCUUGGAAGGGAAACAACAGUUGGAAAUGGCUACUAAUUUCCCGUAUGCUAAGGAGCAAAAGGAGGAAUCUGCCCGAGGAGGGGCUCGCGUCUGAUUAGCUAGUUGGUGAGGCAAUAGCUUACUAAGCUGAUGAUCAGUAGCUGGUCCGAGAGGAUGAUCAGGCACACUGAGACAUGGCCCAGACUCAUACGGGAGGAAAUAGUGGAGAAUUUUUCGCAAUGGACGAAAGCCUAACGGAGCAAUGCUGCAUGGAGGUAGAAGGCCUACGGGUCAUGAACUUCUUUUUCCGGAGAAGAAGCAAUGACAGUAUCUAGGGAAUAAGCAUCGGCUAACUCUGUGCCAACAGUCGCGGUAAGACAGAGGAUGCAAGCGUUAUCUAGAAUGAUUAGGCAUAAAGCGUCUGUAGGUGGCUUUUAAGUUCGUCGUUAAAUCCCAGAGCUCAACCCUGGACAGGCGAUGGAAACUACCAAGCUGGAGUACGGUAGGGCAGAGAAAAUUUCCAGUAGAGCGGUGAAAUGCGUAGAGAUCGGAAAGAAGACCAACGGCGAAAGUACUUUGCUGGGCCGACACUGACAUUGAGAGACGAAAGCUAGGGGAGUGAAUGGGAUUAGACACCCCAGUAGUCCUAGCCGUAAACGAUGGAUACUAGGUGUUGCACGUAUUGACCCGUGCAAUACUAUAGCUAAUGCGUUAAAUAUCCUACCUGGGGAAUACAUUCGCAAGAAUGAAACUCAAAGGAGACAGGGGCCCGCACAAGCGAUAGAGCAUGUGGUUUAAUUCGAUGCAAAGCAAAGAACCUUACCAGGGAUUGACAUGCCACGAAUCCUCUUGAAAGAGAUGGGUGCAUUUGGGAAUGCGGACACAGGUAGUGCAUGGCUGUCGUCAGGUCGUGCCGUAAGGUGUUGGGUUAAGUCCCGCAACGAGCGCAACCUUUGUGCUUGGUUGCCAACAUGAAGUUUGGAACCCUGAGCAGACUGCCGGAGGAAGGUAAGGAUAACGUCAAGUCAUCAAGCCCCUUAUGCCUUGGGUGACACACAUGUUACAAUGGCUGGGACAAAGGAUCGCGAUCCCACGAAGGUGAGCUAACUCCAAAAAUCUAUCCUCGGUUUGGAUUGUAGGCUGCAACCCACCUGCAUGAAGCCAGAAUCACUAGUAAUCACUGGUCAGCCAUACGGCGGUGAAUUCGUUCCCAGGCCUUGUGCACGUCGCCCGCCACACUUAUAAGUUUGAAUAAAAGUGAUUUUAUAGAAUUGAUUUUGGGUAGAAGUGAGUUUGUGUCAACAUAGUUUAUUUUUGGUAACUCUUAGGGGUGGCAAAUGGG